rnacentral:rRNA from 1 species
GACGAACGCUGGCGGCGUGCUUAACACAUGCAAGUCGAACGAAGAGCGAUGGAAGCUUGCUUCUAUCAAUCUUAGUGGCGAACGGGUGAGUAACGCGUAAUCAACCUGCCCUUCAGAGGGGGACAACAGUUGGAAACGACUGCUAAUACCGCAUACGAUCUAAUCUCGGCAUCGAGGAUAGAUGAAAGGUGGCCUCUACAUGUAAGCUAUCACUGAAGGAGGGGAUUGCGUCUGAUUAGCUAGUUGGAGGGGUAACGGCCCACCAAGGCGAUGAUCAGUAGCCGGUCUGAGAGGAUGGACGGCCACAUUGGGACUGAGACACGGCCCAGACUCCUACGGGAGGCAGCAGUGGGGAAUCUUCCGCAAUAGACGAAAGUCUGACGGAGCAACGCCGCGUGAGUGAUGACGGCCUUCGGGUUGUAAAGCUCUGUUAAUCGGGACGAAAGGCCUUCUUGCGAAUAGUGAGAAGGAUUGACGGUACCGGAAUAGAAAGCCACGGCUAACUACGUG